GGGGUCAACUGGGGGUGUGGGUGUAGUGCCAGCGAAGUCUUGCGUGUAUUAAGCCUUCCUUGCAUUUCACGUCAAGGCAAGCCUCCCACAUCUGAGAAGAGUAUAUGCCCUAGAGUGCAGCUGCGUGAUGAUACACUCCCUGGAUGUACAGUUAUCACAAAAGGAAUUACGAGAGAAACAAUGACUUAGAUGAGCACAGUAGAAAAUGCAAGCAGGAUUUCCUGAGUGGUGGAAAGGGAAAGUCUCUUCCUCUGGUGAACCCAAGCACCCGCUGGCAGGGGGAGAUGAGGAGGGAGCUGUGGUCACCGAGAGGGGAGCUGGGGAGAUGUCUGCCAGAGGUACAGGGGAGCUUCAUGAACACAACACUACUGAAUGAUCCUGCAGGAAUCCUGGGGUCGGCGUACAGAUGCUGGCUCUGACCUUCCUCCAGAAGAGAAAUUCCCAGGCUUUUGCACAGUGCUGAGUGCACCUUGCCGUGACUGCAUAUAGCCUACAGCCAGGCUGUUCAUUGCAGCCGUGGUUCCAGGGCAGGGAGCAGACUUGCCCAAGAGUGAUGGUAGGCAAUGAAUAAAGUCACACUGAAUUCCAGUGAGAAGCUCUGCUGAAUUCCCCGUUAGUUGACCAGCUAAUUUCCAAUGUCUUCCUGAAGUACUGAGGAUACCUAUGGAAGAUCAUAGAGAUGAGAGCAGUUUCGCUUUUACGGAGAUAUCACAUGGAAAGGAAAGAGAGAUGUCUGCCCUUUUUAAGAUCUGUGAUACCUGGUAUGAAAGAUGUUCUCCAAAAGGAAAAGAAAGCACAAAUCCCGUAGCACAGUUCCAGUUGUCCAUCAAUGCUGAUGUAUAGACCAGAACCGUAUUCCCUUCAGAGACCUAUUUGACUAAUACUAUGGAGUUUUAAAGUAACAUAAUUCAAAACUUGAGUUGUAGGAGGCUAAACGGCAAGAUACGUUUAAAAAAAAAAUGUUUUCUCUUAAAUUCAUUUCUAUAUUCUUUACCAUCCUGCCAUUUUCUAUUAUUUUAGAGCCUAAAUACUUAAUAUACAGUUUUGUGUAAUGAUUUGAUCUCUAUUUCAUAAACAUAAAGAGAUAAAAAAGAGAAGUACAUACAUAAAACAUUAUUGCAUUGUUUGGAAAAAAAAACCCAUAUUUUUUCCAGCUGGUUGAAAUGGCGGAUCCUGAGGGAGAAUCGCUAUUGUUAUUUGUGCUUUGUAUAUUAUCAGACAUAGAUGUGAUUAAUGAUUUAAUCCAGUGUUUAAAUUAAGAAAUCCCAUUUCUGUCUGUUACCAGUAAUUAAUAUGUUUUAAACACCGAAGGCAAUUACUGCACUUGAAUUCAGGACAAAACUUGUAGGUUUUUUUUCUCAGCUUGUGGGUGGAGCCAAAAUAAAACGAGUUGUUUGCC
ensembl:lncRNA